CCAGGAAAGAGAGGAACCGUCUCUCUCCACAUCCUGACACCAGGAAAGAGAGGAACCGUCUCUCUCCACAUCCUGACACCAGGAAAGAGAGGAACCGUCUCUCUCCACAUCCUGACACCAGGAAAGAGAGGAACCGUCUCUCUCCACAUCCUGACACCAGGAAAGAGAGGAACCGUCUCUCUCCACAUCCUGACACCAGGAAAGAGAGGAACCGUCUCUCUCCACAUCCUGACACCAGGAAAGAGAGGAACCGUCUCUCUCCACAUCCUGACACCAGGAAAGAGAGGAACCGUCUCUCUCCACAUCCUGACACCAGGAAAGAGAGGAACCGUCUCUCUCCACAUCUCUGUCUCUACUGACACCAGGAAAGUGAAGGAAGCAGCUUCUCGGCCUCUAUUUUUAAAAACGGUCUCCGGCUCUACCUUGAUGGCCUUGAGGGAUCCGCUGAACAGCAUGCUGUGGGAGGACACCAGCGUACACACCGGGUUGUCAUGGGCACGGAUUGUGUUCACCUUCUGCAGGGUCUGGACGUCCCACACCUACAUAACAUACAGAGAGAGAGACAAGGGAGAGAGAGAGACAGGGGAGAGAGAGAGACAGGGGAGAGAGAGAGACAGAGAGACAGAAGAGAGAGAGAGAGGAGACAGACAGAGAGAGAGAAGAGAGAGAGAGGAGAGAAGAGAGAGACAGGAGAGAGAGAGAGAGAGAGAGAGAUGGGGGAGAACGCACAAGAGGCAUGUUGGACACAAAGCAGACACAGGGCUGAUGAUCUAGGUAAAGUACAUCAUGGUUCUACAGUCAGUGUAGGUGUUGCUGCUGUGUCGUCAUGUGUCGUCAUGUGUCGUUAUGUGUCGUCAUGUGUCGUUAUGGUUCUACAGUCAGUGUAGGUGUUGCUGCUGUGUCGUCAUGUGUUGCUGCGUUGCCAUGUUGUUGUCUUAGGUCUCUUUCAUGUAGUGUUGUGUUGUCUCGUUGUGAUGUGUGUUGUGUCCUACAUUUGUGUGUUAUAUUUUUAAAUAACUAUUUCCAUAUUCCCAGACCACGACCCCGACCCCGACCCCGCAGGAGGCCGUCUUUGUAAAUUAGAAUUUGUUCUUAACUUGACUUUAGUUCAAAUAAAAGGUUAAAUAAAUUAAAAAUGUAAAAAAGGUGAGUUAUUUACACACACACCGGACAGUUUAUUAGGUACACCGUCCCAUCCACCACAAUGGAUCGCUCCUCCAGACAGUGAGUCACGUGGUCGUAGCUUGUUAUAUACAGCAGGCAGACAGGCAUCGAGGCAUUCAGUUACUGGUCCAUCGGACAGUUUAUUAGGUACACCGUCCCAUUCACUACAAUGUAUGGCUCCUCCAGACAGUGAGUCAAGUGGUCGUAGCUUGUUAUAUACAGCAGGCAGACAGGCAUCGAGGCAUUCAGUUACUGGUCCAUCGGACGUUAGACCGGGGAAUAAAAAACGAGCGACCUUGAGCGUGGUACGACCGUCGGUGCCGGGCGCUCCAGUAUCUCAGAAACGUCUGGACUUUUCACGUCUGAGGGUUUACAGAGAACGGAGAAACAAACAGUCAAAUAACAGAGGCGUUCCACAGCGGCGGCGUGCAGAACGGGGCACCUCUGAAACGCGCAACUUGUAGGUCCUCGUCACGGAUUGGCUAAUGCAGCAGACGAACACACCGGGUUCCCCUCCUAUCAGCUAAAAACAAGAAGAAACGGCCUCACACCGAUUGAGGAAAAACACUCCCAGCUCCUGUUGUGUCACGCUGAUGGCAGAGACAGAAGAAU
rnacentral:lncRNA from 13 species